AGUGAACGCUGGCGGUAGGCCUAACACAUGCAAGUCGAACGGCAGCACAGUAAGAGCUUGCUCUUACGGGUGGCGAGUGGCGGACGGGUGAGGAAUACAUCGGAAUCUACUUUUUCGUGGGGGAUAACGUAGGGAAACUUACGCUAAUACCGCAUACGACCUACGGGUGAAAGCAGGGGAUCUUCGGACCUUGCGCGAUUGAAUGAGCCGAUGUCGGAUUAGCUAGUUGGCGGGGUAAAGGCCCACCAAGGCGACGAUCCGUAGCUGGUCUGAGAGGAUGAUCAGCCACACUGGAACUGAGACACGGUCCAGACUCCUACGGGAGGCAGCAGUGGGGAAUAUUGGACAAUGGGCGCAAGCCUGAUCCAGCCAUACCGCGUGGGUGAAGAAGGCCUUCGGGUUGUAAAGCCCUUUUGUUGGGAAAGAAAAGCAGCAGGUUAAUACCCCGCUGUUCUGACGGUACCUAAAGAAUAAGCACCGGCUAACUUCGU
rnacentral:rRNA from 1 species